AGUCUCUGUCCCUACUAGAGGCAGGCAGAGAUCCUGAAGAGUGCUCACACUGUGGUGUGACAAGGUGGGCAAGUAAAUAGACAGCCCCUUUGCUGCUCCCCCAGUACAGGGCGCACAGCAGAGUGCUCAUGUCCAUGAAUGAUAAGCCGUUAAGGGAAACUAGCAGCUGGGCAAUCUAAUGAAGGACAGGAGACCUAGAUGUGAAUCCCCACCUGUCUGUUGGACCCUAGGCCAGAACUUAAUCUCUCUGAGACUGGUUGGAAGUGCUGCUAACUAUGUGCUAACCUCACCUGCUUUUGCAAGUAUCAGAGCAGACACCUGUAAAGUCUGGCACAUCACAGGGCUUCCAGUAAGUGGUGAGUGCUCUUUUAAAUUGUGGAUGUGUUCCAACAUUGCCAUUUCACCACUUGAAUGUGCCUGGCUAUGAACUGAUUGUGUCCUCCCCAAAUUCACAUGUUGAAGCCUAAUAUAGGUUGGAUAUUUGUCCCUGCUCAAAUCUCAUGUUGAGUUGUAAUCCUCAGUGCUGGAGGUGAGGCCUGGUGGGAGCUGUCUGGGUCAUGGGGGUGAGUCUGUCAUGGCUUGGUGCUGUCUUAGGGAUAGUGACUGAGUUCUGGAGAGAUAUCUGCUCAUUUAAAAGUGUGUGACACCUCCCCACCCCCGCCUCUUGCUCUUGUUUUCACCAUGUGACAUGCCUUCUCCUCCUUCACCUUCUGCCAUGACUGUAAGCUUCCUGAGGCCUCUCUAGAAGCCAAGCAGAUGCCAGCACCGUGCUUCCUGUAAAGCCUGCAGAACGCAUGCAGCACUGGGCCAGGCACAUGGGACAUACAACAGGAUCCAUCUUCCUGACAGGAAUACCAUCAUCUCUCAACCCAGUAAGCAGCCAGCAUCCUGAAGAACGCCAAAGGAUGCCUCCGUCACUUUUCCCCAAAACCAAACUUAAUUUCCUACGUCAUGCUUGGAUGGGGAUGCUUAAUGACAUUAUCCAGAAGGAUCUGCUCUGGGGCUUCAAUCAUGGCUGAGCAAGAAAACAAAAACUCUAAUUUGCUAAUUGCCUUUCCCAGGACCCUAGCAGAUGUUCCUACCCGACAGGGAAAUGAGGAGACAUGAAGUGGCAAUGCCACACUGUUUAAGGAACCUCAUUAGUUUGAAAAAUAUGAUGCACAGUCUUCAGAGGCCUGGGACCCAAAAUCACAGCCACAGAGGCCUGUCUAGCUGAGCUCAAUAGGCACGGGGUCUGCAAGAAGACAUGACUGCUGUGGGGAUUGGUAGUGACUGCGUGAAAUGCCCUUCUCUCUGUGUGGCCUCUGGCUUUGGACUUGCUGGAGCCAGAGGUGGGGGCAAGUCUCCUUCUUUCAUCUAGCCAGCAGUAAUGAUGCCUGCCCUGGGGAUCUCAGGCUGCUGAAAAGCAUAAGACUCAACCACUUUCCCUUAGGGAGACAGCCUACACCAAAGGGGUCAGACUCCACGAGAGAUCUGAAUAAUGACAAAGACUGUAAAAAGAAAUCCAGUUAGAUACCACUGGAAUUCCUUUAUAGACUGCAUAUUACUUUCAAAUAUAUACUACUGCACUUGUAAAAGUACACAGUUGAUCUAAUCACGCUCCUGCUCAAAAUCCUCGACAGGUUCUCUGAGGCUUUCAGGAUAUUAGAUAUUAGUGCCUCUGGGGAGCUCCCCAGCCCCCUGUGCUCUCAGAGCCCUUGUACUUGUGCCCACCACAGCUCUUAUCACAAGGGGACAUGAUGUCUCUUUGGCUGCCUCCCUCCCAUCGGACUGGGGCAACUUGGGAGCAGGGGCCGGGUGUCCCUCAUCAGAGUCCCCAUGGACCUGGCUUAGAGAAAGUGGUGGGUGAACGUCUAUGGAAUGCACGAGCACGAACAAAUGAAGAAAAGCAAUACACUGCCUUAGAAAGAACCAACACUUAAGAAUGAACUGGGAAUGCAGAGCACUGUGAGCUCAGACUAUUUAUUUCAUGUCUUUAUUUUUCAAUUUUUGACUCUGUGCAAAGGUACCAAUGAUAGGUGCCUGACCUUAGUUUAACUGGAAUGUUUUUAAGAUUUUUCUUGUGCAAAUAUUAAGUAGGGAGGCUGUUUUAUUAAAGA
rnacentral:lncRNA from 10 species